rnacentral:lncRNA from 1 species
GCCCCGGGGCUCCGCGCCCCUGGCCCGCGCCCCGCGCCGCGCCUGGCCCCGAGCUCAGGCCCCGGCUCCCCGGCCCGGCCGCCCCGCGGGCCCCUCGCAGAAGUUUUGAUCGUCUUCGAAACAAAUCCCUCUGCUCCACCCCCUUGAAAAAUUGAUUUGGGAGUUGGGGAGCGAAGGCUUUCUUUUUUCUCCUCUGCCUUCUUUAUUAUUAAUAUUUUGUAAAGCUCCAGCGCUACGAGGAGUGGCCCCGAGCGAGGCCAGACUGCGCGGACGGCAGGGAGCGCGGCGGCUCCGCCAGGGGACGGCGCCGGCCGGGAGUGGCCGCUUGGGAACCCCCGACUGUCGGCCGAGGUAGGUCGCGGGGGCUGAGUCGGAGUCCCCCGGGCGGCGGCGCCUGCUCGGGGCCGCUUGGUCCGCGGAGAGGGCCGGCUCCCAGGAACGAAGGACGGGGGCGGGCAGAAGGCGAGGACGGCUGGCCCUGGACUCGUGCAAGGGGGGCCCAGGCCCAGGAACGGGGAGUGAGCCUGGAGUGUGGGUGAGGGGUCUGGGAAAGCUCCGGGCCUGGCAGAGAUUGGGCGGGGGACUGAGCCGAUGGGAGGUUGGGGCCCCGGGAUCGAGAAUGGGGGACACUGGGACGACAAGGAAGGUCAGGCCUGGGUUCAGGCGACCGAGAGUUUAGAGGACAACUAAGGCUGGAAAAGGGGUCCCCGGGCAGGGGCAGGAGCAGUGGGCAAGACCCGGGCCUCCUAGGGUUUGCAGUGAGGGGCGCUAGGAGGGAGUGGUGGCCCCAGGGUAGCGGCUCUGAAGAAAUUAGGUUGGCUGCCAAGAUCGGGGUCCUUUGGCGGGUCGGGUGCCCGGCCAGGGGUCGCUGGGACGCGCGGAUCAAGGACAGUGCUCUAGCCAGCCUGGGCAAAGUGGACCUCGGCAACGGGACGCGAAAGCUGGCGAGAUGGAGCUGCCGACUUCCGCGCCAGCCGGGCCUGGCACCCGCGUCCGGUGCGAGAGGCCACAGCGUCGGACCGGCUGUCUGCGGCCCGUGGUCCCCACCGACGCGCGGCUCACCGGGGAGCAGGGGGGCGGUUGCGGCCCGGGGUAGCGGCGGGCUGACCCCCCGCGAUCCGCUGCGGGGCGGCCCCGGCCCCUCCCGGAGCGAGGCAGCGGCGCGGAGCCGGGCGGGGGCGGAGGGCAUGGGGGGCGGGUCCCCUGACCUCGCUGGAGGCGAAAGGGCGGAUCGGAUUUGGAACCUGCGGGAGGCUUGGUCAGAAGUGGCCCCCUGCGCCGCGGGGCCCCGCGGAGGGGCCCGGCUUUGUGGAGGAUUAGAGGCUCCCGCCCUACCCUACCUGCGUGUGUGUCGCCUGUCUGGAACCGGGAGCUUCCCCAGCUGAGGACCACAGUGAGAGCAGAGAAGACCCAGGAUCGUAUUUGAAACCAUAAAAGCCACAUGAAGACACUAAGAAUAACUUGCAGAAAGACAUUUUCUAUGAAUUGAACACAGAGUCCCAAAACCCAGAAAGUUCCCUGGUCUCUAUCUCAUGGGCCCGUGUCUGGGGAAGGGGGCCCGAUGUGAGGCUGGGGCCAGUGCCCAUCCUAUUUGAUCUUUAUCUUAAAUCCACUUCAAAAUGCUGUGGCUUGGUGGAUUGAAGGUUCGCCCCUUCCUGUAAUUAUUUGGUGUCUGGUAAAGUUUUUAUGAGUGUUUGUGCA